AUUGAACGCUGGCGGAAUGCUUUACACAUGCAAGUCGAACGGUAGAGGGGGCAACCCCUCGAGAGUGGCGAACGGGUGAGUAAUAUAUCGGAACGUGCCCAGUCGUGGGGGAUAACGUAGCGAAAGUUACGCUAAUACCGCAUACGAUCUAAGGAUGAAAGCGGGGGAUCGCAAGACCUCGCGCGAUAGGAGCGGCCGAUAUCAGAUUAGGUAGUUGGUGGGGUAAAGGCUCACCAAGCCGACGAUCUGUAGCUGGUGUGAGAGGACGACCAGCCACACUGGGACUGAGACACGGCCCAGACUCCUAAGGGAGGCAGCAGUGGGGAAUUUUGGACAAUGGGCGAAAGCCUGAUCCAGCCAUGCCGCGUGCAGGAUGAAGGCCUUCGGGUUGUAAACUGCUUUUGUACGGAACGAAAAGGUUUGGCCUAAUAAGCUGAGCUCAUGACGGUACCGUAAGAAUAAGCACCGGCUAACUACGUGCCAGCCGCCGCGGUAA
rnacentral:rRNA from 1 species